UCAAAUUCUUGGAGCAGAAAUAGCUUUGUCAUUUGGGUGACUUGUUUCUUUCGUCAGUUUGGAAAGUCGGUCGUACGGGCUGACUACCUUACCCUUCGUCAGGGUUUUAUCUUGAACCACAAUCUGACACCAAGAUAUGAUUUUCAUAGUUACAUGAUACGCUCGAUGGAAGAAGAGUUUAAAAGGAUUGUUGGUGUAAGGUCAGAUGAA